AUACGUAGGUGACAAGCGUUAUCCGGAUUUACUGGGCGUAAAGGGCGUGUAGGCGGUCUUGCAAGUCAGAAGUGAAAUUCCUGAGCUCAACUCGGGCGCUGCUUCUGAAACUGCAGGACUUGAGUGCUGGAGGGGAUAGCGGAAUUCCUAGUGGAGCGGUAAAAUGCGCAGAUAUUAGGAAGAACACCGGUGGCGAAGGCGGCUACCUGGAAAGUAAAUGACGCUGAGGCGCGAAAGCGUGGGGAGCAAACAGGAUUAGAUACCCUGGUAGUCCACACAGUAAACGAUGAUGGCUAACCGCUGGGCUUAUCAGUUCAGUGGCCAAGCGAAAGCGAUAAGCCAUCCACCUGGGGAGUACGACCGCAAGGUUGAAACUCAAAGGAAUUGACGGGG
rnacentral:rRNA from 1 species